GACGAGCUAAUACCGGAUAAUAUAUUGAACCGCAUGGUUCAAUAGUGAAAGACGGUUUUGCUGUCACUUAUAGAUGGAUCCGCGCCGCAUUAGCUAGUUGGUAAGGUAACGGCUUACCAAGGCAACGAUGCGUAGCCGACCUGAGAGGGUGAUCGGCCACACUGGAACUGAGACACGGUCCAG
rnacentral:rRNA from 1 species